GGACAGGAGAGUCAGGUUGAAACUGGGUGUGUUUGUACCAGGGGGAUGAGGAUGGGCAGAGAGUGAGACAUGAAUGAGUGACAAAGACAAAACUGCUGUGGUGACAGGAAGAAGGUAGGAGAUUCAGAGGCAGAGGCUCCCCAGAGUGUUUUUACACAAUGUAAAAGAAAGAACGUGAAAGGAAUCAGGAAGGCUUAGGGGAGUCAGGGUUGUGGGGCCCUGGAAAGGACUCAGAGCCUGGGCCACUGGGACGUGAGCAUGGACAGCAGAGCAGGUGGAUUCAGUACAGGACGUGUGACACAGAGAGGACUGCGUCUGGUGGAGCAGUGUGUGUGGGGCCAGGUCAAGAAGGGAGGACACACCUGAGAACACGAAUUAGGCCAGUGGGAGAAUCACAGGCGGUGCUGAGAGAACGCAGGAGCGUGCAGGUGGGACAGUGCCGUGCUAUGCAGUAGAGGAGGAAAGCAGGAGAUACGAUCAGCCUGGGCCCAGGAGCUGGGAGCUGCGAGAGCAGAGGGUGAGUUUGCAGCAUAUGGGAGAGCAGGACAGAGGAGAGGUGUUCCCCAAUGGGCAAGAAGAAUGAGUUGGAGCAGGUUAUGGAGCCCAGCAGCUUAGAGAGGUGAGCUUGUUGGGAGGAUCAGGGCAUGUGUUGCAGCAAGGGAGGCAUGCCAAGAGCAAGAGUGUGGGUGUGAACGUAGAGAAUCCUCCUUUUUGCCCAAAAGGGGCAAAGUGUUUGACACAGGUCAUGGAGGAGAAAGCAUGGUGUGGGUAAGCCAAGGGAGGAAUGAAGGAGAGGUGUGAUGAGGGGACAUAACCUUAUUAAUUUUUGCCGGGCUUAGUAUCAGUAAAAGGGCUGACAUGGAAUAGGGGAAGUUGGAAUGCAGAGUUCCCAAAGUGGGGGCACUGACAAAUCUCAGGGACAAGUCAGUGGUAUGUUCAGUAUCAUGGCUGAGUGUAAGAAAAUUUUAGGGAAUAGAAGUUAAAUCCUAGACGACAAGAAAGUGGGGUGACAACGCUUCACCUGUCAUGGUAACUACUUCAUUGAAUGGGAAAACAGACAAAGAAGAAACUUUGUAGAGGGUGACAGUAAAGCAACCCCAACCGAUAUGGAAGGCAGUGAUGGCAAUCACUAAGUCAGGAUUUUGAAAGCAAACCAUUAACAAUGUAAAAUUUCUAAGUGUGGGGGUUGGACAUAGGUUACUAUGUGUUUAAUGUGGUCUCCAACAAAAUCAGCAGAGCCAAAAUGAGAAGGAAGUAUUACUCUGUUUAACAAGAUUGAAAUUAAGGGGACAGUAUACAGUUUAAAUCACUUUGAGAUUUAGGAAUGUCAGAGUUGGUACGGUGGGUUUUGUUGCCCCUUAAUCCAAAGUAUGGAAUAAUGGCAAAGAGGAAAAGUACAUAGAAAGAACUUGUUAUUAGAGAAUUUGGUGGCUGCCUUAAAGCUCCUUGAGUGAAACACGUGAUGAAUGCUGGAGUCAGGAGAAUAAACGGUCCCAUGUAGAGAUAGGUUUAUGAAGUGGAGUCUGAAGGAUGAGCUUCAUCAGCAAUCCUCAGAAGUCAGUUCUACUAGCCAAAGAUGCAGGUAUGUUGGACACCAAGAGAACAGGAAGGAAAUGUUUUGAACACUGGAGGUGGGUCACGGAGGAAGCUUAUACAUAUUCACAUUGUGAAUCGAAAUUUAAAGGACAGAUGAACAAAGACUGGGCAGUACCAAUAGAGCAGGGUUUUGUUUUGUUUUUCCCCUAAGGCAAAAGGCAGAAAUGAGUGGGUAUACCAUGAUUAAAUUGCAUUCUGUAGAGAUAAGAUCAUUUAAGUAAGGUCAGCAAUAAAAAUUAGAGACAUUGAGGAUGAUGGGGUAGAAAAGGGAUACCAAAUAGGAUAGGAAGAUGGCUUGAAAGGAAAUUAGGGCAAUUUCAGUGAGUUUGAGGAAUGUACAAAAGAAAUGAGUUGGUAAAUAAGGAGAUCUCAGACUGAGAAUCCUGGCAGGUCUUUCAAUGGGUUAGACUGUAGGAAUAUUGAUUUUAAAGCCAGGCUGAAACAAAUUCUAGUGAUAAAGGAAGGGGAAAGGGUGGCUGAAUCAUAAUGUUCUACCAAUCCUGCUUUUUUUUUAGUAUUUGAGUUAAAAUUCAGAUUAAAUGCUUGGCUUAGAAGAAUGCAGUUUCACUGAGCCUCAUUAAUAUGGAUCCCAGUGGGUGAGUGGAAGUGUUAAAAGUAAAAAACUCUGAGGCAAAUCUUACUUAACUGAAGUUGUGUUUUUAGUACAGAAUGCCAAGUUAAUAUGGUUAAUACUGAACAGAAAAUAAUGGAAGGGCGACUACAGAUUCAGAGAAGACCUCGAAAUCCAUCGGAUUGUAUAGUAGCUUAAGAUGGCACUUUAAGGAAGUGUAGGCAGAAAGUCGAGAAAUUAAAAUAAUUAUGAAUCAUUAUAUGGCAGGCAAUAUUUCCAACGAAAAUCAGAGAAAAUAAACUCACAUACAUGUACUGUUACAGCUGAUCUUAGAAUUAAAGGCUGUUUUAAAGUAAGUUAUUAAUAUUUGUUGAAAUGUUCCAGAUAAUAAGAAAUAUGAUACAAUAAAACCUGAUAAAAGCAAUAUAAAGAUUAGAAUGGUUCUGAAUAGGCAGUGGAAUAAAAAGUUAAGUUGGUAGUGGCAUUAAAAAGGUCCAAAAUGGGGAACAAUUGGUAGAAUGUUGUGUAUAUAAUAUAUAUUGUUACAGGUGCAAUAAAUAUUCAGGGGAAACAGAGCUGCUGAAAGAGAAUGAAUGCUUAGAAGGAAUGCUGCCUUAAAGGCUUUUCUAAAACUUUUUAGGUAAAGGACAAGGUCUUGGAGGAAGAAAGAUAAUAAGUAGGACUAAUUAUUAGCAUGUCCCUAGUCUUUCAAGAAAUUGCCCAACCUUUGCAAGAAGGUGUUAUGGUAAUAUAUUGAUGUUGGGUUACAGCAAAUUUUUUCAGAUAGGGUAGAUUUGUAUACAUUUAUAAAGUAAGGGGAGUAGAAAAGAUUAAAGAUCGAUCAAAGAAAGGAUAACUGAUGGAACAACUUUCUGGAAGAGAUUAGAGGAUACUUGUCUUUUGAACUCUAGAAGACUUCAUUUUUAGAGAAGAUAAAGGAAGAAAGUGGAUAAUUCUAGAAUCAAACACUAAAAGGUUCUAUGUGUCUGGCACCAUGUGAAGCAAUUUACCUAUUAUUUCAUUUCAUUUUAUCUUAUAACAGUUCUAAGAGAUCAAAUAAUUUGUCUAAGAUCACACAGUCAGUAUGUAGCAGGGCCAGAAUUCAAAUCCUCAUCUGUCUAUCAAACCCAUAUUUCUUUCUAUUAUGCUAUACUGUUUUCAAGUUGAAGGAAACAACCAAGAAUUUCUGUUUUUUCACUGUGAUUAUAAGGAAAAACAUUAUUUUUCUGAAAUGAGACAUAUUGAUGUUUAAGACCUUGAGGUGAUAGGUAAAAUUUGGAAUAUCUGUGAUGGGAAAAUGCAAAAAGGAAGGAAUGGGUAGAAGAUACCUAUUACCAUCUAUGCCCUGGUAUUUCACUUCUUUCAUUGCAUAGCAUAGACUUUAGAUUGGCCAUGGAUUAAAAAUUUGAGAAUUCUGAUAAAAACUAAAUAGAAAGGAGUUUGUUUUUAAGUAGGUAUAUGAUGGGUCAAAUAUAAACUUACUACUAACGAAACUUUAAACAAUUCCCUAAAUGCCAAACUUUUAUAAACAAAAAUCAAACCAUCAAGCAAAAGAGUCCAUAGCCAGCAGACCAAAUGUUGAAAUCUCUGGGCUAAUCUGUAAGAUCUAUGUUUUAAAAAUCCUUAGUGAACAGGGGCAAGAAAACCUCUCCUCUUUUUCUCUCUUGGUGGAAAUGUUUUCUGUUGUUGUUGUUGGUUUUUUCCUAUGCUAUAUGUAAUUUCUAUAUUGCUGUUUUGUGUAUUUUGGUAUUAUAAAAUUGUACUUCUUAGAUUCUGUUAAGAAUACUUCCUGGGGUGUGAGCAAAAUGAACCUGGGGAAGUGGGAAGAGCUAGUAUUCUCAAUUGGCAAGGGACUGAUUCUUCAAUGGGUUCAGCAUUUCACUUCCCUCUGAAAGUAAGUGGCAAAGUAAUAGCAUCCCUUAAAAAACAGGAUGUUGGUGAGAGGUAGAAUAGUGAGAGGUAGAAUAGCGGGAGGAAUUUUGAAACAUGGAAAGAUGGCUACUGGAAAAGAACUGACGAAGUGCAGAAUCUCUCCAGACAAUGGUAGAAGCCACAGGACUACAUUAAGAUUGGGCCCAAAUACUAGUUUAGAAAAGGGUAAAUAAAACUAGGUUUACUUAAGAGUAGAGCCAGCUUAAUUACUGGCUUGUGGACAUAUUUCAGACAAAUCUAACUGGAGAGAAAAACAGACCAGGAGAGAAAGCGAAGUUAUAAGGAAAUGGAACUAGAGAAACCUCACAAAGGGAUAAAGGAGGUAAUUAAAGGUUAAAGCCAGAUAAUCUUGAGCUCAAAGGAGAAAUACUGGAGGCCAGAUAGGAAAGUGCCUUCCUACUCAGGGGGUUAUGGAUCCAGGGUGGCUAGAGGAUAGAAGUAGAGUUCCACCCAGGGCCAGAGGGAACAACCUGGGAUUCAGACACAGCAGUGGUGCCAACUUGAAUCUACCUCGUGCUAGAGUCUGAGCAGCCUGGUCUAUCACCUAACACAGAUAAGACUGGACAGAGGCUCCCAGGAACCAACAUCUAAGAAGGGAGUUUGGAGAGGGGCUAAAAGAAAGCAGGUUAAGCCCCAAAUGUAACUGAAUGAUGACCAGGGAUAACUAUUUACUAGUGCUUUUAUGAUUUCUUGUAACUCUGUAACUUCCCCAGUAUUUGUUAAUUUUUUAACUUCUGUUUUUCCUGUACUUAUGAGCAGUAAAAGUUAUUCAAAACAUAAA